AUUAUGAAAGACAAUGCAUUCACUUGUAUUGUCACAUCAAGCUGAACAAUUAUGAUAUACUUGGUAUUAAUUAACAGUAUAAUAUUUCUCUCCUCCUCUAUCAUUCUUAAUCUAAUACUCCAACUAAAAUAUUUGUCAAUGUAGCAGAACCCUUUUUCAUCAACUCUUACUGGUUCGACUGUUUGUUUCCCUUCCUAAUUUUACAUUCAUUUCACUCCAAAAUUCCAGAAAUUCAUCUUGAAGUUGUAUGUGCUCAAAAUCCUUCUUAAAAGCUGCGAUUAAAUGUGAUUAUGCCUUCGAAAAUCAAUCUUCUUCACUCAAAAUUCUAAAGAAAUUGGAGCUGCGAUUAUGUCUUCAAAACUCAAUGUCGUUUUUUGGAACUAAGCUUCAAUUAAAAGGUGUAACUUUGAAUAUAUCACAAGCUUCUUGCGGUGCUGGCAGGAUAUAAUCAAUUUUCCUCUUUCUGCAUAUUCAAAAUUUCCUCUUAUGCCUUGAAGGUUUCAAGGGGAUAUAUGAUUCUUGGCCUUGGUUUGAUUUGUCUCCUAAAUGCAUUAAUGAUUUGUCUCUCUUAACAGCUACAGGGAACACUCUGAGAUUGCUGAGCAAGCCAAAAGGCAGUGCCGAAGUUGCAAGGUUCCACCAAGCAAGCAUAUUUGCAUAUCUUUUACGACUGAUGAUUUUGGUGAGUAGAAUUAGAAGAGGUUGGUUUGUUGCAGACUAUCAUAUAUUUAUGUAUGCUUUUGAAAUCUGCUUUCCAUUUUGAGAACCAAAGUCUCAGCAACUAUACAUGAAUUUAUGAGUAGUGGACAAGGCUAAAUAGCGGUUUUCAUGUGUGCAUCUAUUCUCUUUGAUCUGUAAUUAUGAAGUUCUGAUGGAGAAUGAGGAUGAAGGAAAGUGGGCUAGGUCAUCAUGGGUAUCGCAUUUGACUUGCAUGAUUUUAUACUUUGUGCUCGAGCGCUGAAGCUAUAUAGACAAGCUUUAAGGAAGGCUAAGCGAGCUUCGAGUCUCUCCAAAGUUCUGCAUAGGAAUAUUCAAAAACAAUCGAAGGAGUCGGGUGUUAGUGUACAAGAAAGAGGAAGAAAAGGGAAGAGAAGAAACCCGAAGAGAAAAAGACCGAGAAAUUAGAAGAGAAAAAGGCUAUGUGUUAAUCUUUUUGAUAUUCUUAUUAGAUAUUAACAAGUUUGUAUAAAGAACCUUAAUGUAAUAUCCAAUUUUGAUGUUAUCUUAAUAGAUUGGAAAAUAUUUUGCCUUAA